AAAACUAAUGCAAUUUUUUGAGGUUACAUAAUACAUCUCAUGCAAAUGUUUAUUUUUCUAAUUUUAAAAACAUUAAAUCAGGUGGCUAUACAAGUAGCAAUUUACAUAAAAAAUAAUCAAAAGGAAAAUAUUAGUUUGGGAAAACUAAAUAUUAAUAGCAAAUAAAUCUGCAGCCAUUUUUUUUUGGAUCAAAAAUAUAACCAUUUAGAAGAAAAAAUACUAUUUUUAGAACUAUGAACUUUUCAAUUUAUUUUUUAACUGUCAUUUUCAUUACAUAUUGUAAAUCAAAAUGCUAAUGCCAUAAGAUCAUUCCAUUUCAUAAUCAACACAGAGAAUAUUCUAGAAAUUAUCAGACAUAAUUCUGAAUUAAGAAGACAUAAAUAGCCUAUGAUAAAAAUUAAAUAUAAAUAUAAUAGCUAGAAAGAGAUGGUAUUCCUACUUCUAGCCCUGAUGACAUCAAUGCCAACAUUGGAAAAUAUCAGGAAAUGUAGUUAUUUUCCCUUAUAGUGUCCUGUGCCUGCCCUUAAGGGCAUAUUUUCAGAUAUUAAGAUUAGUGUUAUUAGAAUUGGUUCAAUAAAAUAACUUUUCUCAAUGUUAACAGAUUUAUAUGAUCCUUU
rnacentral:lncRNA from 1 species